rnacentral:tRNA from 1 species
AGCGUGNAGGUCGGUGGUUCAAGUCCACUUAGGCCCA